rnacentral:rRNA from 1 species
AGUCGAACGGGCCCGGUCGCAAGGCCGGGCCAGUGGCGGAAGGGUGAGUAAGGCGACGGUAACCAACCCCAUGGCCGGGUAUAGCCGCGGGAAACUGCGGGUAAUCCCCAGCGACGUCCGCGUCGGGCAUCCGGCGCGGACCAAAGCUCCGGCGCCGUGGGACGGGCCGUCGUGGUAUUAGGUCGUUGGCGGGGUAAUGGCCCACCAAGCCUCUGAUGCCUACCGGGCGUGCGAGCGUGGCCCGGCACACUGGGACUGAGACACUGCCCAGACUCCUACGGGAGGCUGCAGUCGAGAAUCUUCGGCAAUGGGCGCAAGCCUGACCGAGCGACGCCGCGUGGAGGAUGAAGGCCUUCGGGUUGUAAACUCCUGUCGAGGGGGAGGAAGGCCGCGACAGCGGCUUGACCGAUCCCUGGAGGAAGCACGGGCUAAGUUCGUGCCAGCAGCCGCGGUAAGACGAACCGUGCGAACGUUAUUCGGAAUCACUGGGCUUAAAGCGCGUGUAGGCGGAUGGGGACGUCGGUCGCUGAAAGCCCCCGGCUCAACCGGGGAACGGGCACCGAAACGCCCCGUCUCGAGGGACGUAGGGGGACCUGGAACUUCCGGUGGAGCGGUGAAAUGCGUUGAGAUCGGAAGGAACGCCCGUGGCGAAAGCGAGGUCCUGGACGUCUACUGACGCUGAGACGCGAAAGCUAGGGGAGCGAACGGGAUUAGAUACCCCGGUAGUCCUAGCUGUAAACGAUGGGCACUGGGUUAGGGGGCUCGCCGAUGGGCUCCCUGCCGCAGGGAAACCGUGAAGUGCCCCGCCUGGGGAGUAUGGUCGCAAGGCUGAAACUCAAAGGAAUUGACGGGGGCUCACACAAGCGGUGGAG